rnacentral:ncRNA from 1 species
GAGUUUGAUCCUGGCUCAGGACGAACGCUGGCGGCGUGCCUAAUACAUGCAAGUCGAGCGGGGUUAUUUAGAAGCUUGCUUCUAAAUAACCCAGCGGCGGACGGGUGAGUAACACGUAGGCAACCUGCCCACAAGACAGGGAUAACUACCGGAAACGGUAGCUAAUACCCGAUACAUCCUUUUCCUGCAUGGGAGAAGGAGGAAAGACGGAGCAAUCUGUCACUUGUGGAUGGGCCUGCGGCGCAUUAGCUAGUUGGUGGGGUAAAGGCCUACCAAGGCGACGAUGCGUAGCCGACCUGAGAGGGUGAUCGGCCACACUGGGACUGAGACACGGCCCAGACUCCUACGGGAGGCAGCAGUAGGGAAUCUUCCGCAAUGGGCGAAAGCCUGACGGAGCAACGUGCCCGUACCGCAAACCGACACAGGUAGGCGAGAAGAGAAUUCUAAGGCGCGCGGAAGAACUCUCGUUAAGGAACUCGGCAAAAUGACCCCGUAACUUCGGGAGAAGGGGUGCCU